CAAUUUGUGUGAUGUUACAACAAUGCUGCCACUGAUGUUUAUGCUUGUAGAAAUUACUCCUGAAAAUUGUUUCACUAAUGCAAUUAUUUACAACCUGCACACAUACAGUUAUCAACAACAACAACAGUAAUGAUGUUAAUAAGGAAGUUGAUAUUCAACCAGCAGAAGAAAGGCAUAGGGGUUGAGAUAAAUGAAGGUUCGGUUCAGGACCUAGGGUUGGGUUCAGGUAAAGGUUAGGUAGAGUUUCAGAGGUUAAGGUAAGGGUUAAUGUUAAGGAAAGACUUUUAAUAAUAACAAUGACAUGUCUUACGUGGGCCAGUUGUAGGUCCACCAUCAGCAGCUCCUGCAGUUGUUUGAGUCUGUUGAUCUUCUGCAUUUUUCUCUGGUUCUCCUCCCAUUCUUUGGCUCCUCUGGCCCUCUGGCUCCCUCACUCUCAGGAUCUCAGCCUUCCACUCUUUCAUUAUACACCUUUUUACUCUUCUUCUCCUCCUUUCGUCUUUUAAAAGGGCUCUGAGAUUGUCUGUUUCAGACUGUAAUUGUUCAAUCAUCUCGUCCUUCUCCGUUCCACCAUUCCUCUUCUUCUUUUCCUCCUCCCAGAGGCACACUUGAAGUCUGUCCAUCUCCUUCUUCUGAUUUCGGAUCGUUCGAUCCUUCCCCUCAACUCAAGCAUGUGGGCUUCCUUCUCUGUACAGGUCUUCUUCUCUUCUCUCAGGAACUGAACCUCCAUCUCUGCCUGCUGGUAGCUGGGAGCAAAGGAAUGUCAACACAUUAUUUAGGAAGUGAACUCAGACAAUUUACUACAAUAUUAAAAUAAUAAUUAAACUUCUGCUCAAUUAAACUGUCUUUAAUCACACAACUAACACAUCUGUGACUAACAAUACGUGAAUGUGAUGAGUUGACUGUCCAUGAUGGCCAGAGCUAGGCCAUCUCCAGAUCCAACGGGCUCUUGGCUUACCUGUUGGCCUAUGUCCCACCCCGGCAAUUCCUGACCUUGGUUGUAGUCGUGGCUGUGUUGGGUGGUUGGACACCGGGUGAUGUACUGGGUGCUGAACUUCUGGAUUUGCUCAUCAGCCUCCAGAUUCAUCUGCUCCAGCCAUUUCUCCUGCUUUCUUUUAGGUACUGCUCCUUCAUCCGCUCCCUCUCCUCCUUCAGUUUCUGAUGAGUCCGUUUUUUAAACAGGGACUGCUCUCUCCACUGUAAUCCUACAUCUUCUUCCUUUUCUCCUCAGCCUUCAGGAGCUCCUUCCUCUUCUCCCUCUCUCUCUGCCCGGGUGAUGGUAGAUGUUAGCCCUUUGUGUACAGG
rnacentral:lncRNA from 1 species